AUUGAACGCUGGCGGCAGGCCUAACACAUGCAAGUCGGACGGUAGCACAGAGAGCUUGCUCUCGGGUGACGAGUGGCGGACGGGUGAGUAAUGUCUGGGGAUCUGCCCGAUAGAGGGGGAUAACCACUGGAAACGGUGGCUAAUACCGCAUAACGUCGCAAGACCAAAGAGGGGGACCUUCGGGCCUCUCACUAUCGGAUGAACCCAGAUGGGAUUAGCUAGUAGGCGGGGUAACGGCCCACCUAGGCGACGAUCCCUAGCUGGUCUGAGAGGAUACCCAGCCACACUGAAACUGAGACACGGUCCAGCCUCCUACGGGAGGCAGCAGUGGGGAAUAUUGCACAAUGGGCGGAAGCCUGAUGCAGCCAUGCCGCGUGUAUGAAGAAGGCCUUCGGGUUGUAAAGUACUUUCAGCGGGGAGGAAGGCGAUGUGGUUAAUAACCGUAUCGAUUGACGUUACCCGCAGAAGAAGCACCGGCUAACUCCGUGCCAGCCGCCGCAGUAA
rnacentral:rRNA from 1 species